rnacentral:rRNA from 1 species
GAUGAACGCUGGCGGCGUGCCUAAUACAUGCAAGUCGAGCGAACAGACGAGGAGCUUGCUCCUCUGACGUUAGCGGCGGACGGGUGAGUAACACGUGGAUAACCUACCUAUAAGACUGGGAUAACUUCGGGAAACCGGAGCUAAUACCGGAUAAUAUAUUGAACCGCAUGGUUCAAUAGUGAAAGACGGUUUUGCUGUCACUUAUAGAUGGAUCCGCGCCGCAUUAGCUAGUUGGUAGGGUAACGGCUUACCAAGGCAACGAUGCGUAGCCGACCUGAGGGGGGGGUGCGCACCACGGGAGCUGAGACACGACCCAGGCCCCGAGGGGAGGCAGAGGGAGGGAAUCUUCGGAAAAGGGGGAAAGACGGCAGGAGGCACGGCGGGGGGAUGAAGAAGGUCUGCGUAUCGUAAAACUCUUUUAUUGGGGAAAAAAAAUUGUGUAAGUAACGAAGCGCGUGUGAGGGUAACCGAAAAAGAAACCCCGGGCAACUUCGGG